rnacentral:pre_miRNA from 1 species
AGACAGAUUAUUGUAUUCGACUGUAUUCGCGGCAUGAAAUAGGGGAUUACACUGUUUUUAAAACGGAAAGUGAAUCAAUUAACAUAAUAGAUGUCA